rnacentral:misc_RNA from 1 species
GAUGAAGAACGUAGCGAAAUGCGAUAAGUAAUGUGAAUUGCAGAAUUCAGUGAAUCAUCGAAUCUUUGAACGCACAUUGCGCCCGUCAGUAUUCUGGCGGGCAUGCCUGUUCGAGCGUCAUUACAACCCUCAGGCCCCCGGGCCUGGCGUUGGGGAUCGGCGGAAGCCCCCUGCGGGCACAACGCCGUCCCCCAAAUACAGUGGCGGUCCCGCCGCAGCUUCCAUUGCGUAGUAGCUAACACCUCGCAACUGGAGAGCGGCGCGGCCACGCCGUAAAACACCCAACUUCUGAAUGUUGACCUCGAAUCAGGUAGGAAUACCCGCUGAACUUAAGCAUAUCAAUAAGCGGAGGA